rnacentral:rRNA from 1 species
GACGAACGCUGGCGGCGUGCUUAACACAUGCAAGUCGAACGGAAAGGCCCUGCUUUUGUGGGGUGCUCGAGUGGCGAACGGGUGAGUAACACGUGAGUAACCUGCCCUUGACUUUGGGAUAACUUCAGGAAACUGGGGCUAAUACCGGAUAGGAGCUCCUGCUGCAUGGUGGGGGUUGGAAAGUUUCGGCGGUUGGGGAUGGACUCGCGGCUUAUCAGCUUGUUGGUGGGGUAGUGGCUUACCAAGGCUUUGACGGGUAGCCGGCCUGAGAGGGUGCCCGGCCACAUUGGGACUGAGAGACGGCCCAGACUGCUACGUGAGGCAGCAGGGGGGAAUAUUGCACAGUGGGCGGAAGCCUGAUGCAGCAACGCCGCGUGCGGGAUGACGGCCUUCGGGUUGUAAACCGCUUUCGCCUGUGACGAAGCGUUGGUGACGGUAAUGGGUAAAGAAGCACCGGCUAACUACGUG